rnacentral:rRNA from 1 species
GAUGAACGCUGGCGGCGUGCCUAAUACAUGCAAGUCGAGCGAACAGACGAGGAGCUUGCUCCUUCGACGUUAGCGGCGGACGGGUGAGUAACACGUAGGUAACCUACCUAUAAGACUGGGAUAACUUCGGGAAACCGGAGCUAAUACCGGAUAAUAUUUCGAACCGCAUGGUUCGAUAGUGAAAGAUGGCUUUGCUAUCCCUUAUAGAUGGACCUGCGCCGUAUUAGCUAGUUGGUAAGGUAACGGCUUACCAAGGCAACGAUACGUAGCCGACCUGAGAGGGUGAUCGGCCACACUGGAACUGAGACACGGUCCAGACUCCUACGGGAGGCAGCAGUAGGGAAUCUUCCGCAAUGGGCGAAAGCCUGACGGAGCAACGCCGCGUGAGUGAUGAAGGUCUUCGGAUCGUAAAACUCUGUUAUUAGGGAAGAACAAACGUGUAAGUAACUGUGCACGUCUUGACGGUACCUAAUCAGAAAGCCACGGCUAACUACGUG